rnacentral:rRNA from 1 species
UACGUAGGGUGCGAGCGUUAAUCGGAAUUACUGGGCGUAAAGCGUGCGCAGGCGGUUUUUUAAGACAGGCGUGAAAUCCCCGGGCUUAACCUGGGAACUGCGCUUGUGACUGGAAGGCUAGAGUACGGCAGAGGGGGGUGGAAUUCCACGUGUAGCAGUGAAAUGCGUAGAGAUGUGGAGGAACACCGAUGGCGAAGGCAGCCCCCUGGGCCGAUACUGACGCUCAUGCACGAAAGCGUGGGGGGCAAACAGG